GGAGAAGUGUCCGAGCGGUCGAAGGAGCACGCCUGGAAAGUGUGUAUACCUCAAAAGGGUAUCGCGGGUUCGAAUCCCGCCUUCUCCGC
rnacentral:tRNA from 1 species